GGGCGAUUAACUCAGCCGGCUAGAGUGCCACGUUUACACCGUGGAUGUCGGGGGUUCGAGUCCCUCAUCGCCCACCA
rnacentral:tRNA from 1 species